GUCCACGCCAUAAACGAUGAGGACUAGACGUUGGAGGGUUAAGCCUUUCAGUGUCGUAGCUAACGCGCUAAGUCCUCCGCCUGGGGAGUACGGCCUCAAGGUUGAAACUCAAAGGAAUUGACGGGGACCCGCACAAGCGGUGGAGCAUGUGGUUUAAUUCGAUGCAACGCGAAGAACCUUACCUGGUCUUGACAUCCAUGGAAUCCCGCAGAGAUGUGGGAGUGCCGUAAGGAACCAUGAGACAGGUGCUGCAUGGCUGUCGU
rnacentral:rRNA from 1 species